GUCAGUGUGGUGCAGUGGUUUGAGCAUCAGAUUAUGACUCUGAAGAUUGGGGUUCAAUUUCCAGCUUGGCCA